UAGGGAAUCUUCGGCAAUGGGGGCGAACCCUGACUGAGCAACGCCGCGUGAGUGAAGAGGUUUUCGGAUCGUAAAGCUCUGUUGUAAGAGAAGAACGUGUGUGAGAGUGGAAAGUUCACACAGUGACGGUAACUUACCAGAAAGGGACGGCUAACUACGUGCCAC
rnacentral:rRNA from 1 species